UGAACUUCAUGAGCUUCACAUGGGCCCACCUCUCAAGAAUGUUCAGGUCUUUCUGGAUGGCAACCCUAUCUUCUACAGUGCCAACUUCACCACUCAGCUUGGUUUCAUCUGCAGACUUGCUAAGGGCACUCUCAGUCCCACUGCCUAUGUCAAUAAAGAUGGUUAACGGUGUUGGUUCCAAUACAGACCCCUGAUGGACAACACUUGUCAUUGAUCACCACUUGGGCAUUGAGUUAUUGACUGCAAUUCGCUUGAAAUAAUGAAGAACAUGAAUUUAAUUAAUGAUCCCUGUGACUGUGUCUAUUAUUAAAGUAAACAGGAUGUCUCUUUGGCACUGUGGACUGAGCUGAUACAGCACAGGCCAUGUCUGUACAACUAAAUUCUCCUUUGCUGUCCUUUCCAAACAUAGUAAACUUGACAGUAUUUUCUGUUAGGAAAAAUAUUUCCUUCAUACUGGCUUCACUGCUCUAAAACUUUGUACUUUCCCAGGUUUUCGUAUACCAAAACUAGAGGGGUUUUUUUGUUUGGUUGGUUGGGUUUUGUUUUUGGUUUUGGGGGGUGAGAGGAUAGGGGGCAGGGUUUGGUUAGUUGGUUGGGUUUGGUGUGCUUGCCAUUCAAAAAGACUUUACAGAUUCAUUUACAGAUUAUUUGGUAUGAUGUGUCUGCUGAGUGAAUAGUCCAUUUUAAAGUCUAUAGUAAAUGUUGAUUUUUUUUUCUCACACUGAGAAAAGGGCAUUCAGAUGAAGUAUGAUAGACUGUACAGUAACAGAGUUGUCAUCGCCUAUGAAAUCUUAAACCGAGUAAAAUUAACAAAAGAUAUAUACUUCCUGCCAGGGAAAUGAGAUAAAUUGCAAAUGUCAAAAAUAUUGUG